UUCCGGUGGCUCAGGCGGUUAAAGCGCCCGCCUCGGAUGCAGGAAAUGGCGGGUUCGAACACCGGCCGAAUUAUGCCAA